rnacentral:lncRNA from 1 species
ACCGGUGCGGGCCGGUGCGGGCCAGUGCAGGCCAGGCCCGGCCGGGGCGAGGCAGGUGGCCAGGUCCGAGGACCGCGUCGCACAGCAGCUUUCAGGACCUGGAGAGAAAUCGAGGAUGAAGAAGGGAAGUCACUUGCUUCAUGGCCAGGGAAGGGCUCCAGCAAGACAUGGGCUCCUGAAAGUGACAGUGUGUGAAGGCCCGGAGAGGCACAGGACCUGGUCCCCUCGCCCUCCUUGGAUUGCAGCAAGGAAAGAGGUGUGUCUUCCGCAGAAAAAUGUGCAUGUUCUUUUAGGAUGUGUGGCCUCCGAGCAAGGUAUUUAGCCUGCCUCUAUGUGCUCACCUGGAAAAUGGGGUGAUGAAGAAGAUGAUGAUGAUAAUGGGAACUCCCUCUUGGAGCUGCUGUGCAGAUGAAGUUUUCCUUCUAACAGUCAGGCCCCUCUGCUGCAAGUCUGCUGGAGUUUUCUGGAGGUCCACUCCAGACCUUGUUUGCCUGGGUAUCACCAGCCGAGGCUGCAGAACAGCAAAGAUUGCUGCCUGUUCCUUCCUUUGGAAGCUUUGUCCCAGGGAGGCACCCACCAGAUGCCAGCUGGAGCUCUUCUGUAUAAGGGAAAAGUGGGCAAGUUUUGAGUUCAACGUGAGGCCUCAAGGAUGUGUGCAACCCAUGGUACUUGAAUUUACUUAUUGACUGUUUUUUGGAAAUCCUUAUUUCCCAAAACUCGUGGAAGGAGCUGACUUCUGGCAGGAAACGUGGAACUGGCAGCGUGUCGUGCAAGCAUCUGCAAUCCCAGUCCUGAGCUGGACUUCUCAGAGAGGCUGGGCAUUAUUUAUGGAGAUGUCGGAGUGACAGGGGGAACUUCUGGCCAGGAACUGCCGGUGGUGUCACAUCCUUAACCUGGCUGACAUCGGAACACCCUGGGGGGAGCAUUUCUCCAGGAAAGGAUGGUGGGUCAGGAGCCCGCAUGGUGUCUUUUCAAAGCAAUAAUAAAGAUAUCAGAAGGG